rnacentral:lncRNA from 1 species
GAAUUAAGUCUCAUUUAUUCUAGGGCAAACUCAAAAGGGUUUUUGUGUUUCCUUUUUUAGCAAAUCCUAGCACAUUAUUAACAAAAAAAAGAAAAUCUGUACAUUUGCCAUGAUACACUUGAAGGUGAAACAAAUAAGAUAUAAAUACAGAUAUGGAUGUAACAUGAAAAAGCCCCCAAAAAAACCAAAACCAAAAAACAAAAACCCAACCUGGGGAUGUGGGGGACCAUGCGUGUGAACAGUGCCAACAAAACUAUUUUGGUGGUGGAUAUUUUUCAGAGCGUUGUUCUCAUUUUCAAAUAUCAUCGUUAGCAAAGUCCUGGUGAGGUUCUACAAAG